GGCCUAUAGAAAUUUUAUGACAGUAAAGGAUAAACGUGCGGAGCACAUUUCCAGAACUAGUACACAUAAAGUGAGGUUCUUGCUUUACAGUUUAUCAAGCAAUUGUGGUUCACUUAAAUUAUUAAUUAACUCUAUAAUAGAAAGAAAAUGGCAUGAUAAUAUGCCUUUUUUCUUCAUCAAAAGAGAUCCAAAGUAGAUGAUCUUCGGCCAUGUUGGUUCAUCG
rnacentral:lncRNA from 1 species